rnacentral:rRNA from 1 species
GACGAACGCUGGCGGCGUGCUUAACACAUGCAAGUCGAACGACGUGGCGAACGGGUGAGUAACGCGUAAUCAACCUGCCCUUCCGAGGGGGACAACAGUUGGAAACGACUGCUAAUACCGCAUACUGAAGGAGGGGAUUGCGUCUGAUUAGCUGGUUGGAGGGGUAACGGCCACCCAAGGAGAUGAUCAGGAGCCGGUCUGAGAGGAUGAACGGCCACAUUGGGAAUGAGAAACGGCCCAGACUCCUACGGGAGGCAGCAGUGGGGAAUCUUCCGCAAUGGACGAAAGUCUGACGGAGCAACGCCGCGUGAGGGAUGACGGCCUUCGGGUUUGAAAGCUCUGUUAAUCGGGACGCGGUACCGGAAUAGAAAGCCACGGCUAACUACGUGCCAGCAGCCGCGGUAAUUC